UCACCAUCUAGAUCUUCUAGUGAGUGCAAAAAGACAGAAAUUAUUUGAACAUAUCCUCAUUAGCUGGGGUUGGUUUGCCAACUCAAAAAGAUGAAGGCAUAUUAUGAUGUUGGAAUAAAUUCAACUUGGAGAAUAUAUUCAAUUAGAUGUAACCACUGCAUGAAACCAUAUCAUCGAGGGAUUUCUAGGACAAAAGGAGGAUGUUGAUCGGGCAUAAGUGAAAGAUGAGAGAAGAUAUUGCUAGAAAAUUGGAGGAAGUACUCACGUCAUAACAUCACUCUCAGAGAAAUGGUCGAGGAAAGAAUAUCUAAAUACAACCUUCUUUUAGGGAUAGCCUCUAGGUGGUAUAGAACGAAGCCUAUAUACUCUUCGAAGGAAAGGUAUACUUCAGUAAUGGAUUGAGAUUCAUUAUUGUGUCUCUGAUUCCUUCUGGGAGCCGUUUAGCAAAUUAUGAAGCAGGAAUAACUAGCAGUACUAGUAUGAUACAAGGGAUCAGAUCCCACAUUCGAACACUAUGCAGGGGAAAUUUCUACAGAAGAAUUUUAACGGGUUGUUUGGUAGAGAAUGACCAUGGCAUCGGAUUCUUUUCUUCCAGUGGUAACCUAGAAGAAGUUAAACAAACUAAUUAUAUAUUAUUGGUCUUGAUUUCCAAGUGGAGAGUUAUUUCUUCAAUGAGG
rnacentral:lncRNA from 1 species